UACAGAGGGGGCAAGCGUUGUUCGGAAUUACUGGGCGUAAAGGGCGCGUAGGCGGCCUGCUAAGUCGAACGUGAAAUCCCUGGGCUCAACCCAGGAACUGCGUCCGAUACUGGUUGGCUUGAAUCCGGGAGAGGGAUGUGGAAUUCCAGGUGUAGCGGUGAAAUGCGUAGAUAUCUGGAGGAACACCGGUGGCGAAGGCGGCAUCCUGGACCGACACUGACGCUGAG
rnacentral:rRNA from 1 species